rnacentral:tRNA from 1 species
AGUAACGUCAGCUAAAUUUAAGCUAUUGGGCCCAUACCCCAACAAUGAUGGUUAAAAUCCCUCCAUUACUA